ACCACCUGAACAACAUCAAGACAACUUCCUUGACCGACGGUCAGUGCAAAGAGAUCAGAGUAAGUUGAAAAGUUUUGAGGUUGACUGUGGGGGAGGCAAGAUCAAAGCCUUGUGCCUGUAACCCUGUAAUAUGACCCUUUUGUCUUCAGUCCUUCAGCUGUAACACCGACUGGCUGAACCCCUGUUUUCUGGUCAGAUGUGAUGUUUCUUCAAAGAUAUGCAAUUAAAUUUUGAGUAAAUUUCAGGUGGUCAAGAGACUUCUGAAAUUCAGAAUCAAGCUCAGGGAACAGAGACAAAAAAGUUUUCAAGAAAGGAAAUUUUUAUAUAAUGAAAAGGUGAAAAAAGCUACUGCUUAUGUCUUCGGGGUGAUGUUGAAACCUUUGUCUGCUGCGUGGCUUUCAGGAGUUUUUGGAGUGCUGCAGGAAUUGUGUGGAGCGUGAAGGAGGGUACUUUGGAAAGGAAAAGGUCCCCAACCCCAAGGAAGCUUCAGAUGUGGAACGACAGUGCCCUGCUGCUCCUGCCCCUGCGUGGUGAAGAGGAAGGAAGAGGAGCAGUGCGCUGCCAACAAAGCCUCCGCAGAGCUCCAUACAGCUGUUUUCCCUUUCUGCUGCUAGGCGUCAAUUGCGCUGUAUCACGGCAUCUUUCUGGAGCACAAAACAAAGGGAUGGGGGAGCAGUGGAACGCAGAGGGAGCGUCCAUCCCUGCCGUGUGCCAGCCCCAAACCGCACUCGUGUCCUCUUCAUGUCCUAGGACCAGCGAUGCCGCUGCGCUGAGAACGAGGUAUGGAUGCUCCCGAGGCCUCUCUCCACUGUGAAGCACGGUGGAGUUUCACCAUAUAUACAAGGUGAAAGUGUGCCUGUGACAUCACCGGCGAGUCACCAUCCCCGUCUUGUGGUAACGGAACACACACUGCAUAUGUACUGUAAUUGGACGCAUGCGUGUACUUAGUCACCCGCUCGGUCUAACUCAUUCGCCGGAACACAAAGACAGCCUCACACACACACACACACCCAGAAACACAGACUAAGACAGGAUAAGGCUAAUUCAGUUGAAUUUUCACAACCAACCAAUUACGUUUGCUUACAUUUAUUGUACACUGUUAUACAAAGCACCUUAUUGUUUAGCUACUUACACCAAUUUACCCAUUUAUACAGCAAGGUAACUUCUACUGUACCAGUUCAGGGUAAAUGCCUUGAUCCGGGCUACUACAGCAGGGGGUGGGAUAUGAACCUGUGUCCUUCGUGCCCGAGGGCAGCGGCACUAACCACUACGGCACCUUGUGCCACUCAUUCCAAUCGUUUACCCGUUCAUACAGCAGGGUAAGUAUCACUGUAUCGG
rnacentral:lncRNA from 1 species